UUAAGCGACUAAGCGUACACGGUGGAUGCCCUGGCAGUCAGAGGCGAUGAAGGACGUGCUAAUCUGCGAUAAGCGCCGGUAAAGGUGAUAUGAACCGUUAUAACCGGCGAUUUCCGAAUGGGGAAACCCAGUGUGACUCGUCACACUAUCAUUAACUGAAUCCAUAGGUUAAUGAGGCGAACCGGGGGAACUGAAACAUCUAAGUACCCCGAGGAAAAGAAAUCAACCGAGAUUCCCCCAGUAGCGGCGAGCGAACGGGGAGGAGCCCAGAGCCUGAAUCAGCAUGUGUGUUAGUGGAAGCGUCUGGAAAGGCGCGCGAUACAGGGUGACAGCCCCGUACACAAAAGCGCACAUGCUGUGAGCUCGAUGAGUAGGGCGGGACACGUGGUAUCCUGUCUGAAUAUGGGGGGGACCAUCCUCCAAGGCUAAAUACUCCUGACUGACCGAUAGUGAACCAGUACCGUGAGGGAAAGGCGAAAAGAACCCCGGCGAGGGGAGUGAAAAAGAACCUGAAACCGUGUACGUACAAGCAGUGGGAGCACCCUUUGGGGUGUGACUGCGUACCUUUUGUAUAAUGGGUCAGCGACUUAUAUUCUGUAGCAAGGUUAACCGAAUAGGGGAGCCGGAGGGAAACCGAGUCUUAAUUGGGCGUUAAGUUGCAGGGUAUAGACCCGAAACCCGGUGAUCUAGCCAUGGGCAGGUUGAAGGUUGGGUAACACUAACUGGAGGACCGAACCGACUAAUGUUGAAAAAUUAGCGGAUGACCUGUGGCUGGGGGUGAAAGGCCAAUCAAACCGGGAGAUAGCUGGUUCUCCCCGAAAGCUAUUUAGGUAGCGCCUCGUGAAUUCAUCUCCGGGGGUAGAGCACUGUUUCGGCUAGGGGGCCAUCCCGGCUUACCAACCCGAUGCAAACUGCGAAUACCGGAGAAUGUUAUCACGGGAGACACACGGCGGGUGCUAACGUCCGUCGUGAAGAGGGAAACAACCCAGACCGCCAGCUAAGGUCCCAAAGUCAUGGUUAAGUGGGAAACGAUGUGGGAAGGCCCAGACAGCCAGGAUGUUGGCUUAGAAGCAGCCAUCAUUUAAAGAAAGCGUAAUAGCUCACUGGUCGAGUCGGCCUGCGCGGAAGAUGUAACGGGGCUAAACCAUGCACCGAAGCUGCGGCAGCGACGCUGAUGCGUUGUUGGGUAGGGGAGCGUUCUGUAAGCCUGUGAAGGUGGCCUGUGAGGGUUGCUGGAGGUAUCAGAAGUGCGAAUGCUGACAUAAGUAACGAUAAAGCGGGUGAAAAGCCCGCUCGCCGGAAGACCAAGGGUUCCUGUCCAACGUUAAUCGGGGCAGGGUGAGUCGACCCCUAAGGCGAGGCCGAAAGGCGUAGUCGAUGGGAAACGGGUUAAUAUUCCCGUACUUGGUGUUACUGCGAAGGGGGGACGGAGAAGGCUAUGUUGGCCGGGCGACGGUUGUCCCGGUUUAAGCGUGUAGGUGUGUGUUCCAGGUAAAUCCGGUUCACUUUAACACUGAGGCGUGACGACGAGGCACUACGGUGCUGAAGCAACAAAUGCCCUGCUUCCAGGAAAAGCCUCUAAGCAUCAGGUAACAUCAAAUCGUACCCCAAACCGACACAGGUGGUCAGGUAGAGAAUACCAAGGCGCUUGAGAGAACUCGGGUGAAGGAACUAGGCAAAAUGGUGCCGUAACUUCGGGAGAAGGCACGCUGACAUGUAGGUGAAGUGAUUUACUCAUGGAGCUGAAGUCAGUCGAAGAUACCAGCUGGCUGCAACUGUUUAUUAAAAACACAGCACUGUGCAAACACGAAAGUGGACGUAUACGGUGUGACGCCUGCCCGGUGCCGGAAGGUUAAUUGAUGGGGUCAGCGCAAGCGAAGCUCCUGAUCGAAGCCCCGGUAAACGGCGGCCGUAACUAUAACGGUCCUAAGGUAGCGAAAUUCCUUGUCGGGUAAGUUCCGACCUGCACGAAUGGCGUAAUGAUGGCCAGGCUGUCUCCACCCGAGACUCAGUGAAAUUGAACUCGCUGUGAAGAUGCAGUGUACCCGCGGCAAGACGGAAAGACCCCGUGAACCUUUACUAUAGCUUGACACUGAACAUUGAGCCUUGAUGUGUAGGAUAGGUGGGAGGCUUUGAAGUGUGGACGCCAGUCUGCAUGGAGCCGACCUUGAAAUACCACCCUUUAAUGUUUGAUGUUCUAACGUGGACCCGUAAUCCGGGUUGCGGACAGUGUCUGGUGGGUAGUUUGACUGGGGCGGUCUCCUCCUAAAGAGUAACGGAGGAGCACGAAGGUUGGCUAAUCCUGGUCGGACAUCAGGAGGUUAGUGCAAUGGCAUAAGCCAGCUUGACUGCGAGCGUGACGGCGCGAGCAGGUGCGAAAGCAGGUCAUAGUGAUCCGGUGGUUCUGAAUGGAAGGGCCAUCGCUCAACGGAUAAAAGGUACUCCGGGGAUAACAGGCUGAUACCGCCCAAGAGUUCAUAUCGACGGCGGUGUUUGGCACCUCGAUGUCGGCUCAUCACAUCCUGGGGCUGAAGUAGGUCCCAAGGGUAUGGCUGUUCGCCAUUUAAAGUGGUACGCGAGCUGGGUUUAGAACGUCGUGAGACAGUUCGGUCCCUAUCUGCCGUGGGCGCUGGAGAACUGAGGGGGGCUGCUCCUAGUACGAGAGGACCGGAGUGGACGCAUCACUGGUGUUCGGGUUGUCAUGCCAAUGGCACUGCCCGGUAGCUAAAUGCGGAAGAGAUAAGUGCUGAAAGCAUCUAAGCACGAAACUUGCCCCGAGAUGAGUUCUCCCUGAGACUUAGAGUCUCCUGAAGGAACGUUGAAGACGACGACGUUGAUAGGCCGGGUGUGUAAGCGCAGCGAUGCGUUGAGCUAACCGGUACUAAUGAACCGUGAGGCUUAACCUU
rnacentral:rRNA from 1 species